rnacentral:lncRNA from 1 species
GCCAAAAAAUUCACGGGACAAAGUAAUACGGUAUGCCACUAUGACUACGUGCUCCAAAAUCUCAAAAAGCCUAACAAAAUAAGGACUCAACUUUCCUUUCUUUCUUUAUCUCAUUUUUUCUUUGUAUGGAAAGAUUUUGAGGAAAACAUGAUCACUAACAACAAAUUCCAAAGCUCUUAUUCUAUUAUCAGUAUAACUCUUAUGAUGGCUCUGAGCAAUAAUGAGGUUCUUAUGGAUGACAACAACUUUGUCAAUAGUCUCCUGGAUUGUAAUCCAUUCCAGGGAGACACUUAUUCCUAAUUUUAUUCCAACAAGU